rnacentral:rRNA from 1 species
ACGUAGCGGCGGACAUAUCAUCUGCGGAGGAGCAUAUCGAUAAGCGGAGGAAUCAUCCGCUCCGGAGGAACGGGAAGGCCCGGGAAGGACCCCUAAACUCUGUUUCUAUAUGUAACUUCUGAGUAAAACCAUAAAUAAAUCAAAACUUUCAACAACGGAUCUCUUGGUUCUGGCAUCGAUGAAGAACGCAGCAAAAUGCGAUAAGUAAUGUGAAUUGCAGAAUUCAGUGAAUCAUCGAAUCUUUGAACGCACAUUGCGCCCGCCAGUAUUCUGGCGGGCAUGCCUGUUCGAGCGUCAUUUCAACCCUCAAGCACAGCUUGGUGUUGGGACUCGCGUUAAUUCGCGUUCCCCAAAUUGAUUGGCGGUCACGUCGAGCUUCCAUAGCGUAGUAGUAAAACCCUCGUUACUGGUAAUCGUCGCGGCCACGCCGUUAAACCCCAACUUCUGAAUGUUGACCUCGGAUCAGGUAGGAAUACCCGCUGAACUUAAGCAUAUCAAUAAGCGGAGGAA